GCCGGCUGACGCACGUGUCUCUUGAUGAGGAUUUGAUGUCGCAGCUGAGGAACCAUCUUAUCUGAGAAAGUUUAGAACACGAAGAGACACGAGAAGCAAGAACUCCCGAUAAACGACAGCAAGUCAACACUAAGAGGAAACAAAAUCACUCUUUGUCUUCAUGAGAGGAAGCAGAGACGACUUCUUCUUCAAAUUUUGAGGAGAUGAAGACUUCUGUCAAACACGAUGACCGUCACACUUUGUCUUCAUGAGAGGAAGCAGAGACGACUUCUACUUCAAAUUUUGAGGAGAUGAAGACUUCUGUCAAACACAGCGACCGUCACACUUUGUCUUCAUGAGAGGAAGCAGAGACGACUUCUACUUCAAAUGUCUCCUCCACAUAUCUAAACCAAUGGCUGGGGACAGUUCCUGCAGAGGAAGCAAGGGCUCUUCUUUUCCUCUCUUCCAUGUAGAGCUUGGCCCCGAUGGGAGACACUGAAAUUAUGCCAAAAUACCCAGGAUACAAACACCACCAUCUUGUGCAUUUGGAGCCAGAGUCUGCAGUAUGAGAUCGGAGGCGAAGAUCCCACCAAUACACCCACUCAACAAAGACGACUAAUGAAAAAUGGCAGCUAACCAUGAACUUCACACAAUACCUCUGACAGGAAGUUGACUCGUUCCAGACACAGACCUUCCUUCAAAAAGGACGGGACGUCUUACCGAUGGUGUGGCGUCAGGAACUCAGUGGAACUCCAGAGGACCCGAAGAGACCGUAGAGGACGGAGAGUUUGGGGAAUAAGAAGAGACAAACAAGCAGAUUAAAUAUAAAGACGGACGACACGACAAGUAUCCUGAUCUCCCCCUGGUGGCUGGUUGCAGUUAAGUCAUUUUUCGGAGAGAAGAGACUUCAAUGUCAAGAAAAUAAGGUAUAGAAAUCUCUACCUCAAGUGCUCAUGAUGUGAAACCGUAUGGAGAGAAGACGGCUCACCAGCAGCUCGGUGUUGGGGAUUCUUGGACACACUGGUUCUUGCAGACUGGACACACUGGUUUCUGCAGACUGGACACACUGGUUUCUGCAGACUGGACACACUGGUUUCUGCAGACUGGACACACUGGUUUCUGCAGACUGGACACACUGGUUCCUGUAGACUAGACAGUCUCGAACUGAGCAGCAGCUGAUGUGACACCCUGCAUUUCCUGAGCACCUGACGACGACACAGACACUGAAAAGACAAACACUGUGCGGAAUAACACGUUCACAUGCACCAAAUCACACAGGACUUGGAUCCAUAUUCAAUGCUCCAAAUAAAACCUGAAGUCACCUGAGGACAGCAGGAAAACCUUCAUACAUGGCUCAUGCAGUUUGUGGAUAACAAACACCGUAUUAAAGUGCAACUGAAAUCAAGUUGCAGGCUGUUGAUGUCUGUAAGUCACAUUGACUGAAAGCCAGAGACUCUGAAGCACAACCAACCAACAUCAGCUUCUCCUUUUUAUCUCAUUUAAGAUCAGAAGCACAUCCUGCAACUUAGCAACAAACAUUCAGCAGGGAAAGUGCCUGUUAGUGUCCCUUUAAAGACGGUGAGGUGAACACAUGUAUCUACAGUGGGUAUCAGGAAAAUCUGUGAUCACAUUUUAAAUGCAUUUAACUCAGGUCACAAUCAGAAAUCCAAAGAUACAAUAAUCACCCUGUGGAGCUUCAGAACAUUGAAUAUUUAAAACACAUGGAAAAUUCCAAAGCUGCAGCUAAGAAACUACAACACUGGAUACAACACUUUAAACAUGUAAACGUACUGUUCAUCCAUAGCAUAUAAGUUACAGCACAACUUUAGUUACUUAUUAACCUCCAGGAGCCUUCAAACAUUUAAAGUUACUUUAACUCGUGUUUAUUCAAUUUAAACUACGUCACUGACCUUUCUGUCUCCAUAGGAACAGACUUAACAUCAAAGAUGUAAAUAGACACGAGUGAUGCUCAACAUGUUGCUUGGAUCAAUAACAACAGGAGUUAAACCUGUUGAUUAGUCUCAUUAAACUUUACUUAUAGCUUUGGGUUGACAUGUCUAAACGAUGCUGUACUAUAUUUUAUAUAGUACUUUAUUAUUUAUCUGCAGUAUUGCCUCAAUUGCUUUGUAACCGCACUUUAAAAUAUGCAUGUAAACAAUUGUUCAGUCGCAUUGUGUCAACACUGUCUUUAAAAAAUGAAACUGC